GCGGGGAGAACGAGAGCAGAGGUUGGAGCGCUGGGCGGGAGAGAGACGGUCAGAGGGCACAUGCACACACACCACUCUUAUGGCGUCGGGUUUGAAGUGUCUCUGUCCAUAGCUGAACCACAACCACAGCAGGGUGUUUCAUCUCCCGACUGGACCUCCUGCAGCUGCCAGACACUGACAGGCUCUUAUCUAAGCUCCCUGUGCCCCAGUUCCCCUAUCUGUAAAAUGGGGAUAAGGAUGGUUAUCUCUGAGUGGUCAGGAGGAUGAACUGAGGAAAUAUGUGUAAAGAGCUUAGAACAGUGCCUGGCAUAUUGCAGGUGAAAUAUGAAAGUGUUUGCUGCUGCUGCUAACUAUUUCAGAAGGGAGAUACAGGCUGAGAAAGGGUCGUCCGGGUGCGGUGGCUCACGCCUGUAAAUCCCAGCACUCUGGGAGGCCAAGGUGGGCAAAUCGCUCAAGCAGGAGACCAGCCAGCCUCGCCAACACAGCAAAACCCUGUCUUUACAAAAAAAAACAAAAAACAAAAAAAUACAGAAAUUAGCCGGGCAUGGUGGUACGCACCUAUAGUCCCAGGCACUCAGGAGGCUGAGGUGGGAGGAUAACUCGGGCCCCAGAGAUCAAGGCUGCAGGGAGCUGUGAUUUCACCACCGCACUCCAGCCUGGGUUGACAGAGUGAGGCCCUGUCUCAAAAGAGAGAGAAAAGGUGAUGGAGAAGAGAGGCGGGAGUUGGCGGUGGGCAGGUCUUCCAGCUGUUUCUAUGGCAACAGUCCAGCCAAGUCCCAGACACGCCCACCCCCGUGGACCUAGAGGGACGAUAGGGGUGGAAAGGAUGCCUGGCCUCGGGUUCCGGGAGAAGGAAAUCUCUGAGCUCUACCUGCAGGAGGAACCCCCCAGGGGUCUGGGGUGACUGCGCACGGAGUCUUACGUUUCCUCUCUGCAAGAACCUGAUCUGAACAGCCCCUGCCCUGAGCGAGCUGCCGGGAGGCUACCAUAGAGCUUCCCAGGAGCCGGCAUGAUGCGCGGGAUGUGCAUUCGUUCUGCAAAUCUUCAUUCAAUAAAUGUCUCCUGAGCAGCCUCCCUGGGCUGAGGAUGCAGCAGUGAAUAAGCCUACAGGGUUCCUGCCUUUACGGGGGUUUACGUGCUAGUGAGGGGGGACAGUCAGCAGAUGGACGCAAAUGAAUGGGACACAUGUUGACGCCAAUUGUGAAGAAAUAAAAACGAAUGAUGAAGGAAGCCGUGAAGAAAUGCAAGCAGCAUAAAGGGAUGGAGGGGGUGGAUGGGAUUGAGUCAAUAAAUAUCACUCGGUUUUAUUUUCUAUUAUA